rnacentral:rRNA from 1 species
GAUGAACGCUGGCGGCGUGCCUAAUACAUGCAAGUCGAGCGAACGGACGAGAAGCUUGCUUCUCUGAUGUUAGCGGCGGACGGGUGAGUAACACGUGGAUCACCUACCUAUAAGACUGGGAUAACUUCGGGAAACCGGAUCUUAUCCCGGAUAAUAUUUUGAACCGCAUUGUUCAAAAGUGAAAGACGGUCUUGCUGUAUCUUAUAGAUGGAUCCGCGCUGCAUUAGCUAGUUGGUAAGGUAACGGCUUACCAAGGCAACGAUGCAUAGCCGACCUGAGAGAGUGAUCGGCCACACUGGAACUGAGACACGGUCCAGACUCCUACGAGAGGCAGCAGUAGGGAAUCUUCCGCAAUGGGCGAAAGCCUGACGGAGCAACGCCGCGUGAGUGAUGAAGGUCUUCGGAUCGUAAAACUCUGUUAUUAGGGAAGAACAUAUGUGUAAGUAACUGUGUACAUCUUGACGGUACCUAAUCAGAAAGCCACGGCUAACUACGUG